GGGUAGCCGGCCUGAGAGGGCGACCGGCCACACUGGGACUGAGACACGGCCCAGACUCCUACGGGAGGCAGCAGUGGGGAAUAUUGCACAAUGGGCGCAAGCCUGAUGCAGCGACGCCGCGUGAGGGAUGACGGCCUUCGGGUUGUAAACCUCUUUCAGCAGGGAAGAAGCGCAAGUGACGGUACCUGCAGAAGAAGCGCCGGCUAACUACGUGCCAGCAGCCGCGGUAAUACGUAGGGCGCGAGCGUUGUCCGGAAUUAUUGGGCGUAAAGAGCUCGUAGGCGGCUUGUCGCGUCGGUUGUGAAAGCCCGGGGCUUAACCCCGGGUCUGCAGUCGAUACGGGCAGGCUAGAGUUCGGUAGGGGAGAUCGGAAUUCCUGGUGUAGCGGUGAAAUGCGCAGAUAUCAGGAGGAACACCGGUGGCGAAGGCGGAUCUCUGGGCCGAUACUGACGCUGAGGAGCGAAAGCGUGGGGAGCGAACAGGAUUAGAUACCCUGGUAGUCCACGCCGUAAACGGUGGGCACUAGGUGUGGGCAACAUUCCACGUUGUCCGUGCCGCAGCUAACGCAUUAAGUGCCCCGCCUGGGGNNGUACGGA
rnacentral:rRNA from 1 species